ACUAAGCGUACACGGUGGAUGCCCUGGCAGUCAGAGGCGAUGAAGGACGUGCUAAUCUGCGAAAAGCGUCGGUAAGGUGAUAUGAACCGUUAUAACCGGCGAUGUCCGAAUGGGGAAACCCAGUGUGAUUCGUCACACUAUCGUUAACUGAAUACAUAGGUUAACGAGGCGAACCGGGGGAACUGAAACAUCUAAGUACCCCGAGGAAAAGAAAUCAACCGAGAUUCCCCCAGUAGCGGCGAGCGAACGGGGAGCAGCCCAGAGUCUGAAUCAGCUUGUGUGUUAGUGGAACGGUCUGGAAAGUCCGACGGUACAGGGUGAUAGUCCCGUACACCAAAAUGCACAGGCUGUGAACUCGAAGAGUAGGGCGGGACACGUGGUAUCCUGUCUGAAUAUGGGGGGACCAUCCUCCAAGGCUAAAUACUCCUGACUGACCGAUAGUGAACCAGUACCGUGAGGGAAAGGCGAAAAGAACCCCGGCGAGGGGAGUGAAAAAGAACCUGAAACCGUGUACGUACAAGCAGUGGGAGCACCUUCGGGUGUGACUGCGUACCUUUUGUAUAAUGGGUCAGCGACUUAUAUUCUGUAGCAAGGUUAACCGUAUAGGGGAGCCGCAGGGAAACCGAGUCUUAACUGGGCGUUAAGUUGCAGGGUAUAGACCCGAAACCCGGUGAUCUAGCCAUGGGCAGGUUGAAGGUUGGGUAACACUAACUGGAGGACCGAACCGACUAAUGUUGAAAAAUUAGCGGAUGACUUGUGGCUGGGGGUGAAAGGCCAAUCAAACCGGGAGAUAGCUGGUUCUCCCCGAAAGCUAUUUAGGUAGCGCCUCGUGAACUCAUCUUCGGGGGUAGAGCACUGUUUCGGCUAGGGGGUCAUCCCGACUUACCAACCCGAUGCAAACUACGAAUACCGAAGAAUGUUAUCACGGGAGACACACGGCGGGUGCUAACGUCCGUCGUGAAGAGGGAAACAACCCAGACCGCCAGCUAAGGUCCCAAAGUCAUGGUUAAGUGGGAAACGAUGUGGGAAGGCACAGACAGCCAGGAUGUUGGCUUAGAAGCAGCCAUCAUUUAAAGAAAGCGUAAUAGCUCACUGGUCGAGUCGGCCUGCGCGGAAGAUGUAACGGGGCUAAACCAUGCACCGAAGCUGCGGCAGCGACACUAUGUGUUGUUGGGUAGGGGAGCGUUCUGUAAGCCUGCGAAGGUGUGCUGUGAGGCAUGCUGGAGGUAUCAGAAGUGCGAAUGCUGACAUAAGUAACGAUAAAGCGGGUGAAAAGCCCGCUCGCCGGAAGACCAAGGGUUCCUGUCCAACGUUAAUCGGGGCAGGGUGAGUCGACCCCUAAGGCGAGGCCGAAAGGCGUAGUCGAUGGGAAACAGGUUAAUAUUCCUGUACUUGGUGUUACUGCGAAGGGGGGACGGAGAAGGCUAUGUUAGCCGGGCGACGGUUGUCCCGGUUUAAGCAUGUAGGCUGGUUAUCCAGGCAAAUCCGGAUAAUCAAGGCUGAGGUGUGAUGACGAGGCACUACGGUGCUGAAGUAACAAAUGCCCUGCUUCCAGGAAAAGCCUCUAAGCAUCAGGUAACAUCAAAUCGUACCCCAAACCGACACAGGUGGUCAGGUAGAGAAUACCAAGGCGCUUGAGAGAACUCGGGUGAAGGAACUAGGCAAAAUGGUGCCGUAACUUCGGGAGAAGGCACGCUGGUGUGUAGGUGAAGCCCCUGCGGGUGGAGCUGAGACCAGUCGAAGAUACCAGCUGGCUGCAACUGUUUAUUAAAAACACAGCACUGUGCAAACACGAAAGUGGACGUAUACGGUGUGACGCCUGCCCGGUGCCGGAAGGUUAAUUGAUGGGGUUAUCCGUAAGGAGAAGCUCUUGAUCGAAGCCCCGGUAAACGGCGGCCGUAACUAUAACGGUCCUAAGGUAGCGAAAUUCCUUGUCGGGUAAGUUCCGACCUGCACGAAUGGCGUAAUGAUGGCCAGGCUGUCUCCACCCGAGACUCAGUGAAAUUGAACUCGCUGUGAAGAUGCAGUGUACCCGCGGCAAGACGGAAAGACCCCGUGAACCUUUACUAUAGCUUGACACUGAACAUUGAGCCUUGAUGUGUAGGAUAGGUGGGAGGCUUUGAAGCGUGGACGCCAGUCUGCGUGGAGCCAACCUUGAAAUACCACCCUUUAAUGUUUGAUGUUCUAACGUUGGCCCCUGACCGGGGUUGCGGACAGUGUCUGGUGGGUAGUUUGACUGGGGCGGUCUCCUCCCAAAGCGUAACGGAGGAGCACGAAGGUUAGCUAAUCCUGGUCGGACAUCAGGAGGUUAGUGCAAUGGCAUAAGCUAGCUUGACUGCGAGCGUGACGGCGCGAGCAGGUGCGAAAGCAGGUCAUAGUGAUCCGGUGGUUCUGAAUGGAAGGGCCAUCGCUCAACGGAUAAAAGGUACUCCGGGGAUAACAGGCUGAUACCGCCCAAGAGUUCAUAUCGACGGCGGUGUUUGGCACCUCGAUGUCGGCUCAUCACAUCCUGGGGCUGAAGUAGGUCCCAAGGGUAUGGCUGUUCGCCAUUUAAAGUGGUACGCGAGCUGGGUUUAGAACGUCGUGAGACAGUUCGGUCCCUAUCUGCCGUGGGCGCUGGAGAAUUGAGGGGGGCUGCUCCUAGUACGAGAGGACCGGAGUGGACGCAUCACUGGUGUUCGGGUUGUCAUGCCAAUGGCACUGCCCGGUAGCUAAAUGCGGAAGAGAUAAGUGCUGAAAGCAUCUAAGCACGAAACUUGCCCCGAGAUGAGUUCUCCCUGAGACUUUAAGUCUCCUGAAGGAACGUUGAAGACGACGACGUUGAUAGGCCGGGUGUGUAAGCGCAGCGAUGCGUUGAGCUAACCGGUACUAAUGAACCGUGAGGCUUAACC
rnacentral:rRNA from 1 species